GAAGCAAAUACUCUGCUUCUCACGCGGGGCGGAGGGGUGUUUACUGGUGAGUUUAGUGAAAGAAAGGGUCCCUGCUUUACGUCUCUGUUGAGGUGCCAAGGGAAAGAAGAGUGGUUCUAGGCCAGGCCCAUUCCCUAUAUCCAAUUAGUUUAAGGCUUCCUCUGGAGGCUGCCCUGGAGGGAUGUGCUCUCAGCUAGGCCCCCUACCUUUGUACCCCACCCCACAAAGGAGUUCAGCUGCAUCAGGGUCAACCUUUGGUGUUCCAGAAGCUGAUGGAGGGGCUUGCCUGGGUUUUUUUGUUUUGAAGGGUAUAGGAAGAGGAGAUGGACCCUCUCAGUCCAGUGUGUGAGGAGCUCUGCAGCUCAGGGGCUGGCUUCUGAUUCUGCCUCAGCCUCUCUCCUAGCAAAGAACCUUGCUGGCUGCUGCACCUUGGAGAAUACCCCUGUUUGUAAGGGAGAUUGACACGGUACCCCCGACUGAUCUGUGCAGCAGUCUCUCAAAGCUCUGCCUUGUGCUGACUAAGAAGGGAAGUGAGCAGAUGGGUACAUAAGCACAGAAAGUCCUAAAGGAAAUCCCAGGAAGAAAUAGUGUCUCUUUACAUCUUGCCUUGGAGUCUCUCUCUCUCUCUCCUUUGCCUAAUCUUGGUCUACAUCAAUAUCCUGCUUGCUUAUUUUACCUGCUUCAUUGUGUUCACAUGGUAGGCAGCACUUCCCUUGGGCUUGAUUAUAUAGACUAGUCACUAGAUGUUUUCCUGCUUUAUAUUAACUCUUACUUUCCUCUCUACAUUUCAAUUUCCUCAUUUUCACCUUGUCCUGAAUUCUUUCUAAACUUCCCAUAUAUAGAAGGAGUUCAUUAUGACCACUGAUUAGACAUCAUUGCCACCUUGCUCAGUAGGUCCUACCUGAGUCGCCGAAGGCUCAUUCUUGUUCUUGGCAAUAUGUGGGGGAGUCAAGUGCACGCUCCUUCACCUGUUACUUCUUCCUUCCUCUGAAAUGCAUGGCACUCCCACCAUGGAUGCCAGCAGAUGUCUCCUGCAGCUCAGGAAUUAAAAUGUGUGGCGUUUCCCUGUAGCCAGCAUGGGCUGAAUUUAAUAUAUAAGCAUUUCUUGCCUCCUGUUGGUCCAGAUAGGGUGGGUAUGACAAAACUUGCACUUUUCCUAUAUUCAAUUAUUUUACUUUGUGGCACUCCAAAGUGCUUGAUUUAACGCUGCAGGUGAUGCAUACAAAGUCAAUAAAUCUGAGGGAUGCUUAAAGAGUAAUUAGAAACUCAGUCGAUUUGGCCCUGAGAUGUGCUAAAAAAUAGGAAACAGUAAUAUUGAAAGAGCCUAGUAUGGGACACGCCCAGUCCAGAUAGGAUCAUUGGGAAGGAAAACCGACUCCUACAAUACCAUUUGACUUGGAACAGAUACGUAAAUAACUACACACACUACAGCAGUGUUAUGCUGUACACCAGAGGCCACUGUACUGCGUUUAGAGUAACAUGAGCCCAAUACUAAAAACACUGUUGUGCCUCUAUGAAUUGCACCCAUUAGUGAGAUGGGGAGUUGCCAGAUUACAAAGCAGACAUGCCGGGCAGGGUGUUUCUGGUGGCAUUAACCUGAGUGGAACUACUGUUCUGUAUGUUUGUCAAACACGGCGGGCCUUCAGAUGUUGGUAACAAUGACAACAUUAAUCCAAACUUACUAUUUUAUGUACAACAUUAACUUAUAGUUAAACCACUCCUUCCCAUUAAUAUUCGGCUCAUUCCUCACAUAUCUACAUCUUCUUGUUCAGCUUCACUUUUGCCAUUGCCGCUGCAUUCCACAGACUCCUAUUCUUUCACUACCCUCCUUUUCUUAGGUUGCCCUGUUUGCCACAGUGUUUUUUUCACUAGCACUUUUUUUUGGAGUAUCUUCUUGUGCAUCUAAAACUUAGAUUUCUAUUCCAUUUUCCUGUGUUUAAAGUCUCCCCUUGUGCAACAGUGAUUUUGUAAACUGAACAAUUUAAAUCAGAAUUCCUUCUGGAACAGAUUUCUCCCUUCCUGAGCCCUACCCUAAAUCUCCCCCAUUUCUCUCAGAGUAAAAAAGUCUUGAGGAAAUUUGUAGUUUGUUGCUAAACUCUGUUUUUUUCCAUUAUUAAUUAUUCCUGUUGACAGGGAUGAAACAUUACAAUGAGAUCCGUCGGUCUGCUGGAGGCCUGGGCAGAGGUAAUGGCACCCUGGGUGCUCUGUGUGCUGUCAGCAUUUCCACAGAGCUGAGAUUCAACUACGCUGCAACUAGAGUGCUUCCAUGCUGAAAUAGGUCGUCUCCUUCAGCCUUUUCAGGCAGCAACCCUUCAUUCUGAUGUUGUCUCACUUGAAUUAAAUGAUGUGGAAAACAAAGCUAAGUUGCAUCUCGUUCUGCGCUUGCAGAGCCAUGUGACUCUACCUUUCCCUCACGUUUUCCUGGGGUAACUCCUAGCACAGUGCUGCAAUGUUCCAAGUCUAUAGCCUUACCUCUUACUGCUCAGAUCUUAGAUGUCAGAUAAUUUCCAGGUGCUUUAAAAAGUCAGAGAUCCACUUCCCAUAGUCUGCCUUGGUUUGCAGGUGGGUUGCUUUGUCCCUGUCAUUCCUUCCAGUUUUGGCUGCUCUUGUAGUCAGAGGCCUUCCAGCAGUGUAAGCCUGAAACACUCCUCUUUAGCAAAGGGGUUUUUGUUGUUGUUGUGUUUGUGUUUUGUGGGGAGGGAGGUGUUUAGAGUUUCAGACUCCCUUUGAGGUGCAUCUUCUGCAGCCAGGUGCUCUGCAUUCUUGGAAAAGGUGAGUAGGUUUUGAGAGGUGGAUGGAAGCAAAAUAAUCUGCUAUAUCCCUUUAGAGCCCAGGGUUCAGAGUGCCAUCUUGUCCUGUCUACUUUAAUUUUUCUAAAAUUCUACUAAUUAGUGAAAAUCCAGGUGAUGAUGCCUCCUUUUGAUAUUGUAUCCUCAAACGUAACAUUAAUGUACAUAAGGGAAUGUUCAUCCAGGAAGAAACAAGCUGAAUAUGGCCAAAGGGCUCUGUAGUGUACAAGGUAAGCAAACAGCAAAUAAAGUGCCUCUAAUACCUAUUGCUUCUAGUCAUCCUAAGUGCUGCUUUUCACUAGAGAAGCUUGGCCAUGCUCCUUUAACAGGUCUGGUUCUCCCUGCAGCUGCCAUCACGUGGGACCUGCAGAACACAGGAUGAGCAGGCUUGGCAGAACAAUUCCAGAUUUGCUAUUCUGCAGCUGCAAAGGAGCUCUCUCAUUGUCACGGUUCUGAUUGUGUAAACCAGAUGAGUGAUGGCCCAGCACCUGUUCCAUGCAGCUAAUCCCCACCCUCUUGGGCUGACAUUGUCUUUGCCUGCAGUGUUAUCUUAAUAUGUUAAAUGGUAAGCUUCUCUAGGGGGGACCUUUUCUUAUCCGCUGCCUUCUAGGCACGCCAUGCGCAGCAGUCACGCUCAGUGAGGAUGGUGUGAACGCACCCUCCCGUCUCAUUAUUCCUUUUACCUUUGCUCAUUUAAGGCUCUCUGUUCGAGAACAGAGCCGUCCUGCUUUUCAAGGGGCAGCUGCUUUUACAAAAUUCAAUCCGACAGCGUCUGCCCUCCCAGGUGUCACCAUGGUAACACAACCCAGGGGGAAACUCAGAUGUGUUGCUUAGCAACGUGAUGCUCUUGACUGCAGCUGCUGCUUCAGUUCAUUGAAAUGAUGGAGAAUUGGGAUUUGUUGGAAUCUGUUCUCUGUGGCAUGAGAUGUCAGGAGUGGAUGGAGGGAGACGAGAAGGAGCAGGGCAGAGAGAGAAAUAAAUAAAGAUGUAUAAAUGUUUAACCAUCAUUACGCAGUGGUUUGGAAUGAAAGCCCCUGGCUGGCUGCUACUACAGCUACGCUGCAUCCACAGUAAAGUCUAUUCUGAAUGAGUUCCCACUGUGCAUCCUGCCCCAUUCAUGUGGUAUGUUUUACAGUUGAGUUGAAUGCAGAGAUGCUCCAGGCUGGACGUGUAGUAUUGGCGUUUUUGCGCUCUCAGGAUUUCAUGAGAGAUUCAACAGCCUCUUUCAACACAGAAUCACUUAUAGUUGGGCUACUUUUAAUAAGCAUUUCAAUUAACGUGAAGCCAGUGAAAGGAGGGUAUUUGACAGCCAGAGAGAGGCAUGACUGCUCCUGACCCAACAGAACAAAUGGAGAAAACUUGUACAGGUUACCUGUUUUGUUUCAUUUUUUUUUAAUAGAAAUAGGGCAAGACUGAUUUCCUCUUUUUUUCUAGCAGAAGGGUUUUCCCUGCUUCUCCUUAGUGAAGCCUGAAAUGUCCUUUCAUUUUUCUUGUUAUUUGCAUUCUGGUAGUGCCUACAAGGCAACCAAGAUUGCAGCCCGUUGUACAAAUGAGAGUACUAGAUAUUCACUACAACAUUUCUAGUCUGCAGAGAAAACAAACAGAGUUUUGGAAAGCAAUGGAGCAUGGAAGCAGAGUCAAAACAGUGAUGGCUCUUAUGCCUCCAGAGGAGGACCAUGGGCUCGUUCCUGCACAGUUGGCUUCAUCUGUGUCUUAUCGCAGCCCAUUCACCAAGACUGCAGUACCUGAGGAGGCACCUCCUUCCCUUAGCUUCUACCAGCUAGAAUUUGUCUGGACCUCAGAGCUGGCUCUGCCCCAGGGCCUCACAUGCCUCAAAGUAGAGGGCUGCCCUGACAGGGGUGUUAUCUGCUCUACAGCUGGAUUAUGGAGAUGACACAUCAUAACUAACAUCUUCAUGAGUGAUAGAGACAGCAUGAUAUCUUCUCAAUGACACUUGACAGAUGCCCAGAAGAGUUCCUGUUGGGUAUUGCAAGGCGUUCCAUCCCCACAGAGUCUAAACACCGCAUCUUUGUAGUGUACCCCAGCCUCACAGGAGUGGGAAGCUGGAAGCAAAGUCCAAAUGAAUACAUAUGGAAGCUUAAAAAACAGACCAAUGGCUCUAGGAUCUGUUGGACUUGAAAGGGAUACAGUUUAGAAUAGAAGCCAGAGAGAAGAUUUACCUGCCAAACUUACAAAAAUCAGUUACAGACAUAACUACGAAUAAAAUAUUCUGACUCUUUUCAGAGGAUAGACUCUCUCACCGUUUACAACAUUUUAUGUAAAUAUUAUGAGAAAAACAGGUUUCACAAGUUUUGGUAAAAGCAUUUGCUGAUGAGUACUUUUGAAAACAGAGACUGCUUGAGAUGCUUCAACAUAGAGAGGUUUUUUUUGGAUUGUAGGUCUGACAAGGCAGGGAUUUUAUUUUUUCUGUUAUAAAAGUGUUCAGCACAGUGGACCCCCAGUCCUAACUGUGGCACCAUUGGGCAACGCCACAGUAUAAACAUUUACUGAGCUAGAAGGAAGUGCUGCUAAGGGUAGGUUGCUAUAGAACAAAGUGAACAAUAGCGAUAGGAUUAAACAGUUGUCUGAGCUCAGUAUUUUCUACCAGCUAAACAAUUCCUUUUGCAGUAAUUUGGAAUUUCAGUCAUGUUAUUUCAGGCUAACUAUGUAAAUGACUGUUUUAUUUCAAAAAACAAAAGUAAAGAAAAAAACCUUUUUUACUUACACAGCUUUAAUGGUAUAAAGGAGCGUAACAAAAAGUCACCUUAAUUGGAAUGCAUGCUCAUUUAUUAAUCAAAGAAAGGACUCGUACAUUAAAAACUACUGAAACGCUUGACAUUUGAUACCUCAGAAAUGCUGUACAGAAUCAACACUAGAAAGAAAUGCAUUUGACUCAUAACCAAAUGCAUGCUUCAACGAAUGAUACACAGAACUUGAAAGUAGCUUGUAGGCAUCCACACAGUAAUUUUAAUAUAUGAAUGUAGGGUGACAGCUGUGAAUGACAAGCAGCACAACCUUUUCAGGCAUUCUGGAGACCAAGAAACACUAUUUGUUAGCACACUGAGGUAUGAUCACAGAAAUCCCAAGAUGCCAAGUGCAACUGAGUUCAAGUUUUCUUACUGUCUUCCCUUCCUACUAUUAUGCUGUCCUAUUGUAACCAAUAAAAGUAUAUAGUAUUUAUGGAAGAACCUUAAAGGUUUGGAAAUAAACAUUGCACACGCA